GCUGCUGUUGCAACAGCAAUUGUUGUUGCUGUUGCUGCUGCUGCUGCUGCUGUUGUUGAAGUGGCAAAGGCAGUGGCAGCGGCUGCUGUUGCUGCUGCUGC
rnacentral:sRNA from 1 species